CUGCAGGUUUUUGCCUUCAUUGAAGAUAAAAGGACGAACCAUGAAACUUACAGAAUCAUAUGCAGGUGACCCACAUGGCUGACCCACAGAGGACUUGAUGAGGAAAUCUCAUGUUGAGGUAUCGCUCUACUCAUGAUCAUCUGUCUGGCAUCCUUGGGCUGUAUGGACUCAGACAUCUUCUCUUCCUAGUGUGACAAGGUUCAGCUGGCGAGCCACUCCAAGGAAGUGGUGUUGGGAGGAGUGUCCUGAUUCUUGGCUGUAAAGCAUCAACAUAAGAAUUGUUCUCUUGGACUGAUCUUAUUCUGCAGUAGAAACAGACCUGUGGGGGUUGGUUUAAGUGUGGGUGUGUAUACACUUCAUACAAUGAUUCUAAGAUGAUAAAGGCAAUAAAAC